rnacentral:rRNA from 1 species
GUAGGUGGCAAGCGUUGUCCGGAAUUAUUGGGCGUAAAGCGCGCGCAGGCGGUUCUUUAAGUCUGAUGUGAGAGCCCACGGCUCAACCGUGGAGGGUCACUGGAAACUGGAGAACUUGAGUACAGAAGAGGAAAGCGGAAUUCCACGUGUAGCGGUGAAAUGCGUAGAGAUGUGGAGGAACACCAGUGGCGAAGGCGGCUUUCUGGUCUGUAACUGACGCUGAGGCGCGAAAGCGUGGGGAGCAAACAGGAUUAGAUACCCUGGUAGUCCACGCCGUAAACGAUGAGUGCUAAGUGUUAGGGGGUUUCCGCCCCCCUUAGUGCUGCAGCUAACGCAUUAAGCACUCCGCCUGGGAGUACGGCCGCAAGGCUG